AUUGAACGCUGGCGGCAUGCUUUACACAUGCAAGUCGAACGGCAGCGCGGGCUUCGGCCUGGCGGCGAGUGGCGAACGGGUGAGUAAUGCAUCGGAACGUGCCCAGUAGUGGGGGAUAGCCCGGCGAAAGCCGGAUUAAUACCGCAUACGACCUGAGGGUGAAAGCGGGGGACCGAAAGGCCUCGCGCUAUUGGAGCGGCCGAUGUCGGAUUAGCUAGUUGGUGGGGUAAAGGCUUACCAAGGCGACGAUCCGUAGCUGGUCUGAGAGGACGACCAGCCACACUGGGACUGAGACACGGCCCAGACUCCUACGGGAGGCAGCAGCGGGGAAUUUUGGACAAUGGGGGCAACCCUGAUCCAGCCAUGCCGCGUGCGGGAAGAAGGCCUUCGGGUUGUAAACCGCUUUUGUUCAGGAAGAAAUCCUCUGGGCUAAUACCCCGGGGGGAUGACGGUACCGGAAGAAUAAGCACCGGCUAACUACGUG
rnacentral:rRNA from 1 species